AUACGUAGGUGGCAAGCGUUAUCCGGAUUUACUGGGUGUAAAGGGCGCGUAGGCGGGGGUGCAAGUCAGAUGUGAAAUCUAUGGGCUUAACUCAUAAACUGCAUUUGAAACUGUAUCUCUUGAGUGCUGGAGAGGUAGACGGAAUUCCUUGUGUAGCGGUGAAAUGCGUAGAUAUAAGGAAGAACACCAGUGGCGAAGGCGGUCUACUGGACAGUAACUGACGCUGAGGCGCGAAAGCGUGGGGAGCAAACAGGAUUAGAUACCCUGGUAGUCCACGCUGUAAACGAUGAAUACUAGGUGUGGGGGGACUGACCCCCUCCGUGCCGCAGUUAACACAAUAAGUAUUCCACCUGGGGAGUACGGCCGCAAGGUUGAAACUCAAAUGAAUCGGCGGGG
rnacentral:rRNA from 1 species